UGGGGAAUAUUGCACAAUGGGCGAAAGCCUGAUGCAGCAACGCCGCGUGAGUGAUGAAGGCCUUCGGGUUGUAAAGCUCUGUCUUUUGGGACGAUAAUGACGGUACCAAAGGAGGAAGCCACGGCUAACUACGUGCCAGCAGCCGCGGUAAUACGUAGGUGGCAAGCGUUGUCCGGAUUUACUGGGGCGUAAAGGAUGCGUAGGGCGGAUUUUUAAGUGAGAUGUGAAAUACCCGGGCUUAACUUGGGUGCUGCAUUUCAAACUGGGAAUCUAGAGUGCGGGAGAGGAGAAUGGAAUUCCUAGUGUAGCGGUGAAAAUGCGUAGAGAUUAGGAAGAACACCAGUGGGCGAAAGGCGAUUCUCUGGACCGUAACUGACGCUGAGGCAUGAAAGCGUGGGUAGCAAAACAGGAUUAGAUACCCUGGUAGUCCACGCCGUAAACGAUGAGUACUAGGUGUAGGAGGUAUCGGACCCCUUUCUGUGCCGCAGUUAAACACAAUAAGUACUCCGCCUGGGGAAGUACGAUCGCAAGAUUAAAAAACUCAAAAUGAAUUGACGGGGGUCAAUAGCUGUUUUUCC
rnacentral:rRNA from 1 species